rnacentral:RNase_P_RNA from 1 species
CCAGACGGUCGGGCGGUCGCGGCGGGGGCUUGCUCCUGUCGAGGAAAGUCCGGGCUCCACGGUGAAAAGGCGGCGGGUAACGCCCGCCCGGGGUGACCCGAGGGAUAGCGCCACAGAAAGCAAACCGCCUGGGCUUCGGCUCAGGGAAGGGUGAAAGGGUGGGGUAAGAGCCCACCGCGNNUGGAGCAAGACCAAAUAGGGACGUCGCGCGGGGCUCGCUCCGCAGGGCUCACCGCCCCAGGCGUCCGGGUAGGUCGCGAGAGCCGUCCAGCAAUGGGCGGCCCAGAGGAAUGAUCGUCGCCGCUUUCGGGCGGAACAGAACCCGGCUUACAGGCCGUCUGGUUUU